AAACAAUCGUUACAACUUUCAACAAUGGAUCUCUUGGCUCUGGCAUCGAUGAAGAACGCAGCGAAAUGCGAUAAGUAGUGUGAAUUGCAGAAUUCAGUGAAUCAUCGAAUCUUUGAACGCACAUUGCGCCCCUUGGUAUUCCAUGGGGCAUGCCUGUUCGAGCGUCAU
rnacentral:rRNA from 1 species